rnacentral:rRNA from 1 species
GCUAAACGCGAAGAACCUUACCUGGCCUUGACAUCCAUGGAAUCCCGAAGAGAUUUGGGAGUGCCGCAAGGAACCAUGAGACAGGUGCUGCAUGGCUGUCGUCAGCUCGUGUCGUGAGAUGUUGGGUUAAGUCCCGCAACGAGCGCAACCCUUGUCCUUAGUUGCCAUCAUUAAGUUGGGAACUCUAAGGAGACCGCCGGUGACAAACCGGAGGAAGGUGGGGAUGACGUCAAGUCAUCAUGGCCUUUAUGGCCAGGGCUACACACGUGCUACAAUGGCAGGUACAGAGGGAAGCCAACCGGCGACGGGGAGCUAAUCCCAGAAAGCCUGUCUUAGUCCGGAUUGCAGCCUGCAACUCGACUCCGUGAAGUCGGAAUCGCUAGUAAUCGCGGAUCAGCUAUGCCGCGGUGAAUACGUUCCCGGGUCUUGUACACACCG